AGAUGCAGGUACAUUCACCAAUUCAGUGCCAACAUUCUUGGACUUAAACUUGUGUGAUGGGAAAAUUCGAGUAAGCCAUAUAUUAUAGGAAGAGCAACAACUCCAGAUUGACAUUUGCUUUUAUUUUUAUUUCAGAAUAGGAAAAGGGUUAAAAAGAACAGAUUCAGCAUGUUCUUAGUAAAAAAGAAAAAGUGAUGUGUGUCAGCAUCAUGUGGUAGGAAACUUUUAGGCAAAAAAAAGUGGUAACUAUCUGCCCAUCUGGGAAGGAGAAGGAAAAGAAGUACUGUCAUAUCAGCAAUUGCCAGAAGUAUUUUUAAAAUGCCAUUAUGGCAACAUUUUUCUUCUGCAAGCUCAUCUGUUGAAAGAUUGGUUAAAUAAAAAAAAAAAAAAAAAAAAGGCAAGAAAAAAAAUUGUCAGCUAGUCUGAGUCUGAGAGAGAAAGUAGAAGCAGAAAAGUCUGACUUGCCUGUAACGAUCAGAAGGUCGGAAGUUCAGAUCUUGCUCUUGUGUGAUUAUUGUAAUUCAACCUUAUACAGAAAGAAUGGCAGCCUUUGAAGGGAAAAAUGAGUGAACUGAAAAUUCAUAACUCCCAACCAAAUUCUAAGCUAGAGAUUGAUAUAUCAACAAAUAUUUCACAACGACAAUGCUGUUAUUACUCUAAAAGCAGCAGACUGUGUUAGUGUCUGGCUCCUGAAUUUUUCCCGUGAACACCUUUUCUCUCCUGUUUUGUUCUCCCUUUGAACUGUGUCCUGGUUUUGUUAAAAACAAGUUUCUCUUUCAGUGAAUUUGCCUGUCAGCUAAAGCCUUCAUAUUAACUGCAUCUUCCUGGAGAACCAAACACAUGUUUUGGUAAACCUAGCAAUGGAAUGCAAACUUAUUGAUAAGCACGGAUGGACAUCUCGCGAGAGGGGCAACGAGAAGAAAGAGACCAAGAAACUGACCAACUGUGUAUAACAUUCCAUUCACGUGAAUACUUCAUAUAAAAGUGGGAGAUCACGAGUCUCUCGUGGGCUUUUCCCUUUUUGCCUUUUCCCUUCUGCUUAUGGCCGGCAUUAGAAGAGGACCUUGCUAGUCGUCCCUGCGAACUGAGGCCUAGUGAGAGACUGAAUCCAGCUCCGAUUGGCUGCAGAGUCUAAUCUAGGACUUUGGUUGCCGGCUCUGCAGUUGCUGAGACUUUCAAGAUUGGUUUUAGAUCUGUUCAAUGAAUGACUAACGAAAAGAAUGAAAUGAGAAAUACGACUCCGCUACUGUUUUGCCAGAGAAAUCCUAGUCCUUUGUUUAUCCACACUGUCCCAGGGCCAAAGGUGCACUUCAUGGCAAGUGCUAAGCUAUAUGAAUGUGAAUGAAUCCUCCCUUCCCUCUUCUCACAGUUAAAAAAUGAAAUUUAGCCUGCAAGGAUUUAGUAUCUCACCUUCAAAGAUGCCAGAAUACUCUCACGUGUUGAAUUUGAGCUCUGCAAGCCUGCCAAGUUCAGCCUUCUAAGUGCUAACAGACAAAAAUGUCAUACUCGUCAGAAUUCAGGCCUUUACUCCAGAAUGAAAUUUCAGAAUUUCUAUCAAGAAGCACUGAGCAAGUAAUAAAAAAUGCUAAAAUUCCAAGUUGUUUUUUGUUGUUGUUGUUUUUUGUUUUUUUGCAAGACAGGUAGAUGAAUAGAAGCAACGAGGAUCCAACUUGUUCUCCAGUGGUUUGCAACAGUGUAGCAAAACUUGCUUCCUGUUACCAUAGCUUUUCCUAAUUUAUGUUCUGCCAUGUAUCCUGGUAUUUCGUUUUUAUUGUGACUGGGUGGAAGUGUAAGCAUCUCACUGAGGGACUGUCUUGGACAUUACUUGUAGUGGGAGAAAACCCCUGCUCUUUCAUUUUUGUAAGAAAGAAGAAUCAAAAACGGCCCAAGCAAAACUACUGGAACAUGUGACAUCCUGUACAGGAGUGAAAUGUGUAAUACUGAACUUGCUGCUCUUUCCAGAAAAAUAUCUAGCUAGCAUCAGCACAGAAGAAAUUCACAACCAAAUUAAAAUGGCAGAGUGCCAGAUAGUGCUCCAGUGCUUAAGCCUGUUGUAAAUUUUUUAUUAGAGAUAUCUGUGCAUCCCAAAGGUCAAAGCCAUUUCCACUGACCUAGCUGUCAUGAGUAUAUGGCAGCUCUCAGGUUUGCGCAGGAGCGGAGGAAAGGCCAGUCACUGAGUAACUCUGUAGUAUAUGUUGCAGUUGCCAUUUCAGUCUUCUUAAACUUAUGUUAAAAGAUGCCUUACUUUAAUAAUUUUCUUAUUUAAACCACAGGGACUGAUCUGUGUGGUCAUGCAGGAAGAACUGAUAUGCCCCUCAGUGAGGGUCAGUUAUCAUCUCACCUUGCUGUCAUGAUAAAUUAUGCUGGUUUGUUUUGUGGCAGCCAUCAUAAUUUUCAAGAAGCAUCCGAACCUAAGUUCCCAUCUUGACAAGACUUCUCCAAGAAGCCUUGUUGGUUUGAAGGAUUCAGUAUCUACCAAUGAAAACCAUACCUUUGUAAAACAAGCAAAAGCAAUUUCUUACUGCAUUUGAAGUUUUUAACAGUAGUUUACUAGGUAACUGAAGAACCAUGUGUGUAUAUGACAUUGAAAGUUAACAAAGUGAACCAAGCCAAAGCUAACUUAAACUUGCAAAUGCAUAUAAGAAACCUACUCUAUCAUCUUGUCUUCAGCUCUUCAGUACAGACAGAUUUUGCUUUUUUCUUUUGAGCUUGAUGUUUCAAACUGCACAAUAAGUCAUUCAACUAAUCUUAACAUCUACAGAGUGUGGUAUAACUUUACACCCCUCAAAAAUCCCAGCAACUCAAGGGGUCAGAACCUUUAUCCCAAAAAUAAAAACAGUCCAGAACUUCAGCUUUCUGCUAUGGAGUCAGAAGUACUACAGUUUUAGAUUUAUAGGCAAUAUUUCAUUAAGGAAAAAAUGCUGGCAUCUGUCGUUGCUGUUGUUUGCUUGUUUUAUCUCUCUCUUAAAAAAUCAAAAGGUCUGUUGUGAAGCCUGUGAGAUCCCAUAAGUGGAAACUGGGCAUGACAAGAAGCAGAAAGUUCCUUAAAAGACUAUCCAAUAAGCCCUAAAGUAAAAUUGAGUUGUAUUCACUUUAAGAUUAUCUGCAGAGAUUCCACCACUGAAAAACAAGUUCUCAGGAAAUUGUAAAUACUAAAGCCAGGCAUUUGUAAUGAUUUUAAGAACACAUGUGUGCUGUCAUGAAGGAGCAUCAUUCCAUCUUCAUGAAGUCACAGACUUUAAAGGCCAGAAAUUACUUCCUGGAAAACACAAGCCAGAAAACUUCACCCAAUAUAUUUUCUUCAUGGUAUUUCCUUUCUUUAAAUGAAUUGCAAGUAGUAUUAACUUGAUAGGGUGAUUAAAAUAGUUUCCAUAGACAGUUUUAGGGAAUGACAUUCUUUGAAUGAAUACGUGCACAAUUGGUCAAACUCUUCUCUGGUGGAUUUACACUGAAUUGGAAUUACAGAUGCCACACAGCUGCCCCAGUGGCAUGUGCUGGGAAAAAGGACACCAAUACAGUAUGUUUUGUUUUUACAUACACCCAGUAAAUGCAGGGCUUAAUCUCCAGUAGCUUCAGCUCAUAUAGGUAGUCCACUGUCUUGUGCGCUAAUAUUAUCUUCCCCAUAACUGUGGUAUUAUCAGAUUUCCAUCAAGGGUUUGUGAAGCAAACAAGGCAACAAACACAGACAAAUGCACACCACAUAUUUGCAAGUCAGUGGUCAGCAUAUGAGAUUGCAGACUCCCGCGCAAUAUUACAUUGAGAACCGAGAGGUGAGGGAGACAGCAUACCAUCCAACAGGCUGAACCUGUAUGGCAAAUGAAAAGCAGUGCUGGAGGAUUUUAUCUUGAAACCUUAUCUUUUCUAUCUUAAAAAAGAUUCUCUGGGUCUAAUCUACCAAAGCCACUUUUAUUCCUCAAUUAUUCUCUGUCAGAUUUCUAGCUUUGUUUUGGUUUAAUAUCUUUUUAUUUAUUUAUUUAUUUAUUUAAGCUUAGACAGUUUGUAUUUUUCAAAUCAUAACAUCUCCAGUACAGUGGCACUCAGAAUACAUCCUCCCUUUGCUCUCUUACUACUUCGCUUUAAUUAGCAGUCUGUAAAUAGAAGGGUCCUUUCCUCAGCUGUCAACAAACUGAAUUGGUACAGUCUAACUUGCUGAUUUUCCAUGCUUUUCAACAAGAUACAGCCUGCGGUACAGCUGAGCAGUUGCCUGCAAAUGGCUACAGCUCUCCAUCUUAGACCAGAUGUAAAUCUCAGCUGGAAAGGAUCCAGGAAGAACAAGUAUCACUGUACAAUCACACAAAGGCUGCACACUCUAUGUGCUAUCCAAUGAACUAUCUGUGUGCCUCAUACCCCCAAAAUCCAACAUUUUGCUUCUACAUUUUGGCAGCAGAGACUUUGCUUCCUCAUCUCCUGAGCUGGCUUUACCACUGCCUUGCCAUAGUCUCGUGUGGCAGCCAGGGAGGCUGCUCCUUCAUGUCAGUGCCUUUGCACACACUCACAACAGAGAAGCCAUUUCCCCCCAGAGAUUUCUGUGCUCCCACCUGUAAAAGGCUUGUAAACCCUCCUCUGGUCCAAGAAGAAGAAGAAAACAGGGGCAAAAAAGACCCUAAUUAGCUAGAUAUUUUGGUUAGCUACUCCGUGAGCUGGGAUGAAAGGUUUAUUAUUUUUAUUGCUGCCUUUUUAUCUAGGGAAAGGGGAGUCAAGUGUAUUCUGAUAAGUGGUUGUGAUGUCUUCAAGGUGAAGGCACAAGAAAAAUAAUCAUGUGUCUCAGUUUCCAUGUUAUCUCAGAGAAAGGUCAAAUGUCAUUAUUUAUUUUGAGACAAAAAAUUGUG